GUGCUCGUUAGGAAGCACAUAUACUAAAAUUGGAACAAUACAGAGAAGACUAGCAUAGCCCCUGUGCCAGGAUGACAUGCAACUUCAUGAAGCAAAUAUUUUC
ensembl:snRNA U6 U6 spliceosomal RNA